UUCUAUGAUUCUAUGGGAGAGAGCGGUAUCCUUGGAUAGAUCAUCUGAGAACCUGAAGCUCAGGCAGAUCGCAACUCAGAAAUGAGGAAAUACUCAGCUAGCACUUUUCAACAGCUGUGAGACUUACUCCUAGAAAGUACUUUGUGUGUGAAGUGCUUUGAGCUAACAGAGUUGCUUACAUUCCUCAGAGGACUCUUCUGGGGCUGCUGAAGAAUAGCAGAGACAAGGAAAGACCAAAUGUACAGGGAAAGACCAGGACAGAACUAUUUGUUGGUUUGUCUCUUACUUGCUGUACAUUUGAGCUUUGUGCUUGGUACACAAACAUUAUCUUUUCAGCUAUGUGCGUAUACUUAAAGAUAGAACAAUUCUAGAGACAUGGGGGAAGGCUACAUGAAAUAGCAGUUCUACCAAGCAUACUACUUUCUGCAGGCAACAACCCACAGAAAAACAGAACUCUAAGCCUUGCAUGUGGCCGUUGGUGACAGCCCUUUGCCUACGAGUGGUUGGAGGGCAGCCCCUCACAAAGCCAGAGUAAGGCUCAAGAUAGCGUCCCUGGAGCCUGUCUACAGAGGCUUUACCUUUCCCACCCUCUUAGUAGAUGCAGAGAAGCGUUCAACUCCUGAGCCUAUACAGAGCUUGACUUACAGCUCAGUGACACUAUCUAUACAAAAACUGAUCUGGAAAGGAGUCUUGUUCUAAAUCAAAGUUCAUAUAACAAUGAAAAAUUUGUAAUAGGAGCAGGACCUGAACACAUUCUCGAUUUGAUGGAAACAAGAGAACUUUUUGAUGUCAGAGGAAUUGCUCCCAGAAGUCACUCACUCUACCUGCGUGCACAAGACAAUGGGUACUGGACAUCUGAGCAUACACCAGCAAUAUAAAGAGUUCACAAUCCAUGAAUAGAGAAUUUCUGAUUUGUGUGGUGGUUUUUUUAAUUAUUAUUUUUGAAGUGAAAUACCAGCUUUUCCAGUGCUUCCAUGGAAAGGAGAUUCCUGUCUGGCAGAACAGAGCAACAAAAGGGAACACAGAGAUUUUUAUGGCUUUUGUCAUCUUGUAAUAUUAUUUUAUGAACUGUGGUUACAGCAGUUUAAAACCAUUGCCAUUGCUUUCUGCUUUGUUUCUGCUUAUCAAAGUCAAAGUCAAAACUAAAAGUAAAACAAGCAUGUUUGACAUACCUAUCCUGUGCAUGAGAACAGCCUAUACCGAUGAAGAAGAAAACGCUGAAUUAAAAAAAUAAGGAAGGGGAAAAAAAAAGAAAAGAAAAGGAAAGGAAAGCUCAUGAUUUUGCAUAAUUAUUGUUCGAAAGCCAUGGUGCAUGGCUCUAAAGCUGAAUGGUGUAGCUGUACAUUGCACAGACUAGUGUAUGGCUCUGACGUGCUAAACACUGAUAUCUCCUUAUAAUGAUGUGUUAAUGUAAGGGGAGUGAUUUUGCAAAAUUUUAUGCCUUAUUAAGGAAAUGAUUCAAGCCCAGGAAAUGUGCGGGUUAAGUACUUGCUUUCAUAAACAUGGGUUAUGGUGGAAAAAAAGAUUUUAGAUAUUAUGUGGAAAAAUGCAGUAAAAAGCGCUGAAUUAGCCCAUUCCAUUACAUUGAAUUGUUCAGCAAUUAUGGUCAUCCCCCAGCCUAGAAAAUUGAAGUAUAUGAUGAAAACCCAAUCUAAAGAUAUCCACUGCUGUGCUACUGAAGACAAAGCAUAUCAUGCUUAAAAGUCACUUAGGGCUUCGGUGACCAAAAUAAAGAAUUAUCUGAGGUAUAAGU
ensembl:lncRNA